rnacentral:rRNA from 1 species
UUCAGACGAUGCGUCAUGCAUAUCAAUAAGCGGAGGAAAAGAAAAUAACAAGGAUUUCCCUAGUAACGGCGAGUGAAGCAGGGAAGAGCUCAAAUUUGAACCUCUUGACUUAGGUUUAAUGCCGAAUUGUACUGUAAGAACGUGUUUUCUAGUGCAAGUCUGAGUUAAAAGUCCUUUGGAACUAGGACAUCAUAGAGGGUGAGAAUCCCGUCUUUGACUCGAUUAUUUUGUCUUUUAGUGAUACACUUUUCCAAGAGUCAGGAUUGUUUGGGAAUGCAGUCCUAAAAUUGGGUGGUAAAUCUCAUCUAAAGCUAAAUAUUGGCGAGAGACCGAUAGCGAACAAGUACCGUGAGGGAAAGAUGAAAAGAACUUUGAAAAGAGAGUUAAACAGUACGUGAAAUUGUCAAAAGGGAAGCGUUUGACACCAGUGUUGUUUUCUCGAAAAUCAAUUAAAAAGAGUUAGAUUUUGUUGUGUAUUGACCUUAACAGCUUGCAUUUCAAUUUUCUUGCUUUUUUUAAUGCACUUUUCGUUUAACAAGUCAACAUCAGUUUCUUUUGUUGUAAAAAGGUCAUUGGAAGGUGGCUUUCUUUUCGGAGAAAGUGUUUAUAGCCUUUGACUCCUGCAAUCGGAGAGACUGAGGUCUGCAGCGUAGAUCCUUCGGGGUUAGAUACAUUUGUGCUAAGUUAUAGCUUUUUAUAGACAACUUGUUGACUAUGAUUAGUCUUGUAGCUUACUCGCUUAUGCUAUUUUACCUACGCUUAGGAUGUUGAGUCGUAGAGCACGCAG